UUGUCUUCCCUUCUUUUCUGAUUUCCAUUAUUUUCUUUAAAUUAUUUUUUUCUUGAAAGUUAGCCACUCACCUCUUGUUUAAUAGACCAUGGAUUAAAAAAAAAAAAAAAAAAAAAACCCAGCAACAAAUACCUUCUCCCUGUUUUUGCAUGAGGGUUUGAUGUCAAUUUUUGGUCUCUGACGGUGGUGACUUCCUUACUAGAUUAUUCGUUUUCUAAGUUUCCUUUCUUGAUUUUUUGGAAUUGUUUAGCUUUGUGUAAAACACGCUACUUUGGUCCAUCUUUUGAUCAAUCAAUCAUAUUUCCAUUAAGUCCACUUCCUUGGUCACCACUCAAAACAGUCAAGGACAGAAGGGAGGAGACACAAUGAGAGUGGGUGGGAGAGAACUCCACUGUGCCUUGUUUCUAAUUCCAUAGUAACUAUUCCUAUGAAUUAUUCUGGUGGUCCUCAGGUCUCCUUUAUCCAGUUAGAAACAGCUCAGAGAAUCCGACUAUGGAAGGUGCACCUCCUGGUACUUACAGCCGUCUUUCUUGCUGGUGUUCUUAAUCACCUGCCAGCAGUUCUUUUGAUGUAAAGACUGUUAUCUCACAGUGUCCACGAGUUGCCCCAUUUACUCUGUCCCACACAUAUUAACUUCACCUAGAUUUGAAAAAAUGAUGACGACUUCAAAUUUGUAGCUUCCUCUGCAGUUACCUCUAAUGGAUAUACAUUAGAACCUUACAGCCUCAUGUUCUUUCUUGCUAUUGACUCUCUUUACUGGAUCCUAAUUAUUUUCUGUGGAGAAUGGGAACUUCUUGGGUUUGAAAGAAAACAAACAUUUGUGUCUCUGGCCUUUUCACUCAGCAGAAAGCCAAAUGCUCUGAGAUGUCAGAAUGAAUGAUUUAGCUGAGUUCACACUUCUAAGCUGGUGGACCCAUGUAGGUUUCUAGACCAUGUUUGGACCCAGAGCUUUUAAAGAAAGAUUUGCCAGAGCCACAGAAAAAUGAACCUGACUCAGUAGCAUUGAAAACUCUACCUGUGCUGACUGAAGUGGGUUUCUGAAUAGACAAAACUCUUAUCUGCUGUCAGGUCAACUGGUACCGACUCCAAAAUAUGAAAACCUUGAAAACAUGGGACUGUUUUGAGUAGUGGCUCAUCUAGUUCUGUGUUUUUAUUUUACUUCUGGUUUUUAGCACAUACGACACAGUGCACUUUUUCUUGUCUAAUCUCAUCUGCCUUUUGUUUUCGAUACGUCUCUUGGUUUUUUCUUGUCUGUGUAUGUGUCUGUACUUGAUUAUUUUAGGUUUGUUUUUUUAUACUAUUAUUCUGUUGCUGGAACUUUUACUGUGUGCGUAUCUGUAUUCUUGUGUUUUCAAUCCUCCCUACCAUCCACCAUGGUAAAUCAAAAGAUGGUAUUCAACCCUUCAAAGGCCCAAAGCCUGCGGCCCGCAUAGCAAACAGCCUUGAGAACACAGAGUACUGAGAAGCCUACAGGGACUGGCAUCCCUCUGCCCUUCCCGCCUGCCCUUCCACAGAACCCUCCCCUCCUCAACUGGACCAAACCUAGCAUGUUACAUUACCUAAAACCAACAACCAGAUAUCCUAAGAUACUUCUCUGAGUAAACAGCAGAGAGAACAACGGCCCAUCCCAAAGUAUGAUGCAAAGGAUAAAACCAAAUAUGAGAGAGACCCUGAGUAGUUCAACCCCAGAAAAGCAAAAGACAGUCUUUCCCUCUCUGUCAACUUUGAAGUAAGAGGAAUAUAUAUAUGUGGAAAUAUAUAUAUAUGGAAAUGAGCCUCAUAGCAUCCCAGAGAGUACAUGUGUGUCUUUUAAUAAACAAGUUCUUUUUUUCAUUAAAUGAUGUUGUGUGAAGGCUAUGAAGGCAACUGUGACAGGCACCACCUUCCAAGAAAACUAAUGUCAGAGAAAGGGAUGAAAGAUGAGCAAGGAGGAAAAGCGAUGAAAGAUUCUCCCUCUCUCUCUCUCACAGACACACACAUUGCACACACACUUACACACUAUCUAUGAGUUAUUCAUACAUGCUAAAUGUAUUCCUAGAAACACACCAUUCACACUUUUUCUAUUUUAAACUAUGGCCAAGCCUGGGACCCAAGCCUUGUAAAACAACAGCGUUUGUCUUUUGACAUAUGUCAGCUCAGCCUCCGUCUAGCUCCUACUAUGCUGAAACAACCUGGCUGAAAGAGUCUCGACAUCAUUAGAGCACUGUUCUCUCCUUAAUAGGGAGAGUCCUUUGCUUCUGCCCCAGGGCUAUGGCACAUCACAACUGUGACUUUGGAUUAUGUAUCUUUUCAUUCAAGCCUGACAUAGGAAAGUAAACAUUAAUCCUUGUGCUGCGUACAGUCUUCCUAUUCAGGACUUGUCUAAAGGUUUUGGCACUCCCUCUCGCAAGUAUUUUCUUUCCUUAUUAUAGUCAUUUCUUCCUUCUAUUAACUACAGAAGAAAAUUAUCUCCAAGUACAGUUUGCAUCUACACAUAGCCUCACCCAAAUGGCCUUUGCUUUCUUACUACAAUUUCUUCCUCGAGCAAUGUCUCAUUCUGUAGCCAAACAUAUCCUGAAGUUCUCUAGCCUGGAGUAGCUCAGGCUAGCCUCUUGGGUGUUUGUAUUCUAAGUAGUUCCCCUCUUAUAGCACACAUGAAGCAUAUCCCAAAUUCAUUCAAAUUGCUAACCUAGGUGAACUCCUGUGAGAAAAACCUAGUAUAUAUUUCUCUGCCAUAACAUAAUUUUUGUAAGGUUUUCUUUUUGAAAGACAGGUACAUGUAGCCUUAGCAGACCCACAAACACCAGGCAUCAUGAUUUUGAAAAUUGUAAAGCUGGCUUUUGAUCAACCAGUAUUUGUUCCUUGUGUCUUAAAAGAGGAAGUAACAGUAUUUUGCCAUCAAAGUAUAUUUAAAGAUCUCAAAGAUUAUGCUUUAUUUUACUCCAGCAACAGUUUACGAGAUAAAUCAGCAAUUUGGUUUUUUUCAAUGUUUGCUUUAAAGAUGUGAAGCUUCUAUAGGUAGUUAGUAGCAGAGCUGAAAUUAGAACUCCUGUCUCUAAACUGCUAGAUCCUUAUGUGUUGACCUUUUUUUGCUCUACAGAGCUAUAUUGUAGGUCAGUGAUGAGAAUGUCUGAAUGGUAACAUUCUUGACAGUCAUUCUUGAAGCAUCCACACAGGGGAUCCCUCUUUGCCUUAGUGCUCAGUUUUAAUUGAGCCACAUUACCGAAAAGCCACUGAUGGGCAUGAGGCCUUUGGCAUCCUCAGUACAGUGCUGGGAGCCACUAGAGACUCUAAGGAUAGUGUCAGGCAUUCAGCCAAUCACAAUUGAUUUCUCCAGAUGUUCUUUCUCUGGACAUCCUGAACACUGCUUUGGCAUAGCUGAAAAUCACACAGCUUUCAGAAGCACUCAUGUCUUCUAGACCUAGUGCAAAGUUCACCAGUAUGGAAAGCCAUCAUUUCUUCCAUUUCACUGAAAUAAAACAGAGGAGCUAAACAAACCAAAUAGCACACAUACACACACAUACCCAAAUGCACUAGUGCCAACUUUUUUCAGUCAGAGAGGGUACCCUGGCUGCUACAGAAGAUAGACACAAAAGGGAUGGCCUUCCCCAAAUCAAUUCUCUCAGCUCAUUUUUUC
rnacentral:lncRNA from 1 species